rnacentral:rRNA from 1 species
CCUACGGGUGGCAGCAGUGGGGGAUAUUGCACAAUGGGGGGAACCCUGAUGCAGCGACGCAGCGUGGGUGAUGGAGUGCUUCGGCAUGUAAAGCCCUAUCUGCAGGGAAGAAGCAAGACGGUACCAGACUAAGAAGCCCCGGCUAACUACGUGCCAGCAGCCGCGGUAAUACGUAGGGGGCGAGCGUUAUCCGGAUUCACUGGGUGUAAAGGGAGCGUAGACGGGCAAGCAAGCCAGGGGUGAAAGCCCGGGGCCCAACCCCGGGACUGCAGUUGAAACUGCAUGGCUGGAGUGCGGGAGGGGUAGGCGGAAUUCGUGGUGUAGCGGUGAAAUGCGUAGAGAUCAGGAGGAACACCGACGGCGAAGGCGGCCUGCUGGACCGUAACUGACGUUGAGGCUCGAAAGCGUGGGGAGCGAACAGGAUUAGAGACCCGUGUAGUC